UUUUAGCCCUGAUGGAAACGAUAUCCUCUUGUGGCGGGGUUCGCCACAAGAGAUAAAGUGUACAGCAGGAAAGGGC
rnacentral:sRNA from 1 species